GAAUUCUUAGAUGAAGAACAAUUCUUUCACUCUUCCCUUCUUGCACAAAAGUGCAGUCGCCGGAACCUCAUGUCAUCCAAAGUUUCAAAGAGAUAUGUAGGUCAAUUUAUCAAUAAUCUGGAAAUUGAGGAAUGAGAUAUUUAUGGAGAUUGUCCGAGGAUGGGACCGAGCAAUCUAAGGUCUAAAUUCUAGAAUUCGGCAUAGAA
rnacentral:lncRNA from 1 species